rnacentral:rRNA from 1 species
AGACCCGAAACCCGGUGAUCUAGCCAUGGGCAGGUUGAAGGUUGGGUAACACUAACUGGAGGACCGAACCGACUAAUGUUGAAAAAUUAGCGGAUGACCUGUGGCUGGGGGUGAAAGGCCAAUCAAACCGGGAGAUAGCUGGUUCUCCCCGAAAGCUAUUUAGGUAGCGCCUCGUGAAUUCAUCUCCGGGGGUAGAGCACUGUUUCGGCUAGGGGGCCAUCCCGGCUUACCAACCCGAUGCAAACUGCGAAUACCGGAGAAUGUUAUCACGGGAGACACACGGCGGGUGCUAACGUCCGUCGUGAAGAGGGAAACAACCCAGACCGCCAGCUAAGGUCCCAAAGUCAUGGUUAAGUGGGAAACGAUGUGGGAAGGCCCAGACAGCCAGGAUGUUGGCUUAGAAGCAGCCAUCAUUUAAAGAAAGCGUAAUAGCUCACUGGUCGAGUCGGCCUGCGCGGAAGAUGUAACGGGGCUAAACCAUGCACCGAAGCUGCGGCAGCGACACUCAGGUGUUGUUGGGUAGGGGAGCGUUCUGUAAGCCUGCGAAGGUGGCCUGUGAGGGUUGCUGGAGGUAUCAGAAGUGCGAAUGCUGACAUAAGUAACGAUAAAGCGGGUGAAAAGCCCGCUCGCCGGAAGACCAAGGGUUCCUGUCCAACGUUAAUCGGGGCAGGGUGAGUCGACCCCUAAGGCGAGGCCGAAAGGCGUAGUCGAUGGGAAACGGGUUAAUAUUCCCGUACUUGGUGUUACUGCGAAGGGGGGACGGAGAAGGCUAUGUUGGCCGGGCGACGGUUGUCCCGGUUUAAGCGUGUAGGUGUGUGUUCCAGGUAAAUCCGGUUCACUUUAACACUGAGGCGUGACGACGAGGCACUACGGUGCUGAAGCAACAAAUGCCCUGCUUCCAGGAAAAGCCUCUAAGCAUCAGGUAACAUCAAAUCGUACCCCAAACCGACACAGGUGGUCAGGUAGAGAAUACCAAGGCGCUUGAGAGAACUCGGGUGAAGGAACUAGGCAAAAUGGUGCCGUAACUUCGGGAGAAGGCACGCUGACAUG